AAAACUGAUAGAAGAAAAGAGUUAAAAUACUAUCCAACUGCAUAAGGAGACAGCACAAUUCUUAGCCAAAUUCCGCCUUGCCAACCGUGCCCGGUGUCCUUGUCCUCACCGACUGACAAAUACCAAGAGGUUGAGACUAACACGAGAUGCGAACAUGCUUCCACAGGAUGCAUGUUCAGGAGAUUGGAAUGGAGAAGUGAAACACAUCUUUGCUCUAAUUUUCUCAGGACCAUUUAAUAAUCAUCAUAUUUAGACACUCAUGUAUUAUGGAUAUUGAAUUGUAAUUUGACAUAAUUUUUUAGAUAUUGAAUGAAUUAAAGAGUGUGAUUUUCUGUAUUAAUGUAUGAGAUGUUUAAAAGAUUUGUAUGUUAAUAAAAUUUGAGAUUGUAGUU